ensembl:lncRNA
CUCCUUGUGUUUCAGGUCUUGGAUCUCUUCCUGGGCUCCUGCACUCUGAUAUCCAUCUCACCCGCUUGUAACUAUCCAUUACAGCCUUCGUGGAAACCUGGAGGUUCCCUCCAGAUUUCACAACGCUUUCUUUCCACUCUCCUUGUGUUUCAGGUCUUGGAUCUGUUUGUGGGCUCCUGCACACUGAUAUCCAUCUCACCCGCUUCUCAGUGUCCGUCACAGCCGGCGUGGAAACCUGGAAGUUCCCUCCAGAUUGCACAACGCUUUCUUUCCGCUCCACUUAUGUUUCAGGUCUUGGAUCUGUUCCUGGGCUCCUGCACUCUGAUAUCCAUCUCACCCGCUUCUAAGUGUCCGUCACAACCAGCGUGGAAAGCUGGAGGUUCCCUCCAGAUUUCACGACGCUUUCUUUCCACUCUCCUUGUGUUUCAGGUCUUGGAUCUGUUUGUGGGCUCCUGCACUCUGAUAUCCAUCUCACCUGCUUCUAAGUGUCCGUCACAGCCGGCGUGGAAACCUGGAAGUUCCCUCCAGAUUGCACAAUGCUUUCUUUCCGCUCCACUUAUGUUUCAGGUCUUGGAUCUCUUCCUGGGCUCCUGCACUCUGAUAUCCAUCUCACCCGCUUCUCUUGGAUCUGUUCCUGGGCUCCUGCACUUUGAUAUCCAUCUCACCCGCUUCUAAGCAUCCAUCACAGCUGGCGUGGAAACCUGGAGGUUCCCUCCAGAUUUCACAACGCUUUCUUUUCAAUAUCCUUGUGUUUCAGGUCUUGGAUCUGUUCCUGGGCUCCUGCACUCUGAUAUCGUUGGGUUACUUAACGUAAACGCUGGUUCUUUGAUAACAGAGUGAGGUGUUUCACUAUGGGAAUCGCCUCGGCGUGACCAACUACGGAAGCUCCAAUGACACCACGUCUGUCUCUGACAGACC